UUUAAUUCGAAGCAACGCGCAGAACCUUACCAUCCCUUGACAUGUCGUGCCAUCCGGAGAGAUCCGGGGUUCCCUUCGGGGACGCGAACACAGGUGCUGCAUGGCUGUCGUCAGCUCGUGUCGUGAGAUGUUGGGUUAAGUCCCGCAACGAGCGCAACCCACGUCCUUAGUUGCCAUCAUUCAGUUGGGCACUCUAGGGAGACUGCCGGUGAUAAGCCGCGAGGAAGGUGUGGAUGACGUCAAGUCCUCAUGGCCCUUACGGGAUGGGCUACACACGUGCUGCAAUGGCGGUGACAGUGGGACGCGAAACCGCGAGGUUGAGCAAAUCCCCAAAAACCGUCUCAGUUCAGAUUGCACUCUGCAACUCGAGUGCAUGAAGGCGGAAUCGCUAGUAAUCGUGGAUCAGCAUGCCA
rnacentral:rRNA from 1 species